rnacentral:rRNA from 1 species
AGUGAACGCUGGCGGUAGGCCUAACACAUGCAAGUCGAACGGCAGCACAGUAAGAGCUUGCUCUUACGGGUGGCGAGUGGCGGACGGGUGAGGAAUACAUCGGAAUCUACUUUUUCGUGGGGGAUAACGUAGGGAAACUUACGCUAAUACCGCAUACGACCUACGGGUGAAAGCAGGGGAUCUUCGGACCUUGCGCGAUUGAAUGAGCCGAUGUCGGAUUAGCUAGUUGGCGGGGUAAAGGCCCACCAAGGCGACGAUCCGUAGCUGGUCUGAGAGGAUGAUCAGCCACACUGGAACUGAGACACGGUCCAGACUCCUACGGGAGGCAGCAGUGGGGAAUAUUGGACAAUGGGCGCAAGCCUGAUCCAGUCAUACCGCGUGAGUGAAGAAGGCCUUCGGGUUGUAAAGCCCUUUUGUUGGGAAAGAAAAGCAGCAGGUUAAUACCCCGCUGUUCUGACGGUACCCAAAGAAUAAGCACCGGCUAACUUCGUG